AGGAUUCGGGAGAGAGCGGAACGGAAACCGCCGCCGAAGGUGAAAGCUGCAGGGCUAAACUCUCAGGCAAAAGAACCGUAUC
rnacentral:ncRNA from 1 species